rnacentral:lncRNA from 1 species
CGUGUCCGUGGGAACCAGGGCUGUCGUUCAAUGCAAGCUUUUUCGAUCUACGGUGUCCACAGAUCGACGUGUGAGCGACAAUGUCGGUCGGAACAGUUGUCUUGAAAGCACCAUAAAUCCAGAGAAUGCCAUGACUUGGAUGACAAAAUUUGCCCACGAAGGACCGCUGCUCCACCUUCCUGUUUAAGUGAGCACAUCACAACAAGGUGAGUCCAAAAAUGUCCUGUAUGCUGCUGCAUAAAUGAUGUAAUAUGUCAGGGAGAUAUGUAUACUGUAGCUAAGAAAGUAAUACUAAGUGUAUGUUGUGUAGUAAGAUGUUAGUAGCCCAUGUGUCUCACCCUAAUAAUUUGGUAUAUUUACCCCUCUUAAUUGAUUCUACUGUUCUGACUUGGUGGUGCACAUGUAGCCUAUAACCUGUUUUAAAGACAUGUAAUCAUGUCACACCCUGAUCUGUCUUGUGCUUGUCUCCAACCCCACCAGGUUUCUCUCAUUUGUCCCCAUUUAUCCCCAGUGUAUUUAUACCAGUGUUUUGUGUUUGUCUGUUGCCAGUUCGUCUUGUCAAGUCUUACAAGCGUGUUUUUCCCAUUUUCAAGUCUUUCUAGUUGCUGUUUUCUAGUCUUCCCGGUUCUGACCAUUCUGCCUACCCUGACCCUGAGCCUGCAUGCCGUUCUGUACCUCUUUGACUCUGCCCUGGAUUACUGACCUCUGCCUGCCCUCAAUCUGCCCUGGAUUACUGACCUCUGCCUGCCCUCAAUCUGCCCUGCCCCCUUGUAUAAUACAUAUUAUGGGAACUGUACUAUCCAACUCUUGUGUCUGCAUCUGGGUCAUAUCCUGAGUCGUGAUAAAUCAUAGAAUAUUUUAAGAGUUUUCAUUGUCUGCUUUUAUAUGCCCCCUUUAUUUAUCCUACGGUUAUGACUUGGUGUACAGGGAGAACAAUGUAAGAAUGGCCCAUGUUCUGAAUUCUGUCACUGUACAUUUCAAAAGUACUCAACAAAUACAGAAUCAAGGACAGAAUCAUUGAUCUAAAUGUCAAAAUGUAUGUCAAAUUAAAAUGUUCUGAAAAGC